AUGCGGAGCAAAUCUAUCUGGCGGCGUCAGCUCAACGCAUCCAGUCUGUACCUUACAGAUGCAGCAAAUGUUGCAUUUUUUCCCCUUGAAAAUGGAAGUUUUAGCUCCAUUGACCUACAUAACCAUGAGCACUAUGAAGUCCAUGGCGAAGCAGGGGAGACUACGGAAACAGUACCAUACCACACUACCUCCCCUAGCACAUCUCGCCCAUUUUCUUUUCGUAGUGGCACGCCACCCACGGCAAACUUGAUCACAGUGGCGAGAUCAGCUUCUACACAAAGGUCAUUUCAAAGGGCUCUCCAUGUGUCUGAGGUGAAGGAGGGAAAGCUUGUUUCAACACGUGUGGUCAUGGUGCGUUUCACUGAGUCAGAGGCAACUGUGUCUAUCAUAUUGUCAAAAUUAAAAGGUGCCAUGGCAGAUGAGGAGGACUACACCCUCACUGACACCCUCGGGAAUGAAAUUGUUGAGUCUGAAGGGACAACUGGGUCUGUGUACUGGAAACAAAAUGCCAGAAAAGUUUUGGCCGUCAAGAGAUCGACUUUUCGAGAAGAGGUUACCAGCAAUAUUCAUAAUCUUGUGACCCUGAGCCGGAACCUGUCUCCAGUUUGGCCAGAAAUAAAACAGGCCUUUGUCUGUUUGAUCUGCAGAGCCGUUAUGACUCGCCCCAUGUUUUCGUCCUGCUGUCGGACCCUGGUGGGAUGUGCGGAGUGUGUUCAGGAGUGGAGGAACAACUCUGAUCAGUGCCUCAAGUGUAGAGAUGACCUGCCAAGCUACACAGAAGUAGCAGGACUCUCAGAAGCACUUAAUUGCCUAAAGUCAAUUGAGUAAAUACUUAAAAUUUCAUGUUAAUGUUAUUAUUCGAUUGGUUCAUGUUCAAUAUGUUAAAAGUUUUUGGCUAACUACUUGUUUUUGUUUUUUGUUGCAUCAGUACAGCUAUUAAAUUGG